CCCGGGCCUUGUACACACCGCCCGUCACACCAUGGGAGUUGGUUGCACCAGAAGUAGUUAGCCUAACCGCAAGGGGGCGAUUACCACGGUGUGGUCAAUGACCGGGGUG
rnacentral:rRNA from 1 species